GUAGUCCACGCCCUAAACGAUGAUCACUCGAUGUUGGCGAUACACAGUCAGCGUCUAAGGGAAACCAUUAAGUGAUCCACCUGGGAAGUACGACCGCAAGGUUGAAACUCAAAGGAAUUGACGGGGGCCCGCACAAGCGGAGGAGCAUGUGGUUUAAUUCGAUGAUACGCGAGGAACCUUACCUGGGCUUGAAAGUUAGUGACAGUCCCUGAAAGGGGAUCUUCCGAAAGGACACGAAACUAGGUGCUGCAUGGCUGUCGUCAGCUCGUGCCGUGAGGUGUUGGGUUAAGUCCCGUAACGAGCGCAACCCCUAUCAUUAGUUGCCAACAGGUCAAGCUGGGGACUCUAAUGAGACUGCCCGCGCAAGCGGUGA
rnacentral:rRNA from 1 species